rnacentral:rRNA from 1 species
AAUAGAUACCCUGGUAGUCCACGCCGUAAACGAUGAGUGCUAAGUGUUAGGGGGUUUCCGCCCCUUAGUGCUGCAGCUAACGCAUUAAGCACUCCGCCUGGGGAGUACGGUCGCAAGACUGAAACUCAAAGGAAUUGACGGGGGCCCGCACAAGCGGUGGAGCAUGUGGUUUAAUUCGAAGCAACGCGAAGAACCUUACCAGGUCUUGACAUCCCACUGACCGCUAUGGAGACAUAGUUUUCCCUUCGGGGACAGUGGUGACAGGUGGUGCAUGGUUGUCGUCAGCUCGUGUCGUGAGAUGUUGGGUUAAGUCCCGCAACGAGCGCAACCCUUGAUCUUAGUUGCCAUCAUUUAGUUGGGCACUCUAAGGUGACUGCCGGUGACAAACCGGAGGAAGGUGGAGAUGGACGUCAAAUCAUCAUGCCCCUUAUGACCUGGGCUACACACGUGCUACAAUGGACGGUACAAACGGUUGCCAACCCGCGAGGGGAGCUAAUCCGAUAAACCGUUCUCAGUUCGGAUUGUAGGCUGCAACUCGCCUA